UCUACCGCAGCUACUGUAUGAUGUCAUAGCAAUGACGUCACACUCAAGCCAAUCAGCCUUGAGGAGGAUAGACUCGUCGGACUGUAGCGGUUGUAAACAACUUGUCGCCCCGUGUGUCUGCCCGUGGCGCUAGUUAUCUGUCGGAGUUACCACUGACAAUGCCCAAAACAAGAACAACAAAGGCCCAAAGGUGGCUGUUUGGUAGUGCGCAAAGCUGCUGGUGGUGGUGGACGUCUCUGCCCUGACGCGCGGCGUGCGUCUGCUCAGUGUGGAGGUGCCGCUGACAGCGGUGCCGGCCGGACCGGCUGCCUCUCCGGCGGCCGACAUUGAGCGCGGCACGUGUCCGCCGCCGUUCGGGCCGCUGCAGCUGCUGCAGUCGGCGGCGCAGCUGUCCGUCUCCGUGUCGCUGGCCGUGCCGCUGGACCUGCUGCCGCGGCCGGCGCCGGCGCGCUGCGCCUACGGCCGCCUGCUGGCCGUGAGCCGUCGUCUCGCAGCGCGGCCUGCAGCGCAGCGGCGUGCCGCAGCUCAUCCAGCAGCUCAACGAGCCGCCCAGCCCGGCGGCGGCCGAGGGCGCCGCGCCGCGCCGGCCCGGCGACGUCAGCACACCUGGCAUCAGCGGCUUCUGCCUGGCCGACCGUCAGCUGCACCUGCUGUUCGCCGAGGGGCGCGCCGACGCCGAGCUGGAACAGACGGCGGCCGCGCCGCGCGCUCUGCCGCGCCGCGACGCUCGACUCUGCCACCACUCGGGCUUGCUGUUUAGGGAGCGCCUGUACCCGCGCCAGCCGGCCGUGUUCCGCGUGCUCGAGGACCGCCCGCUACGCGCCCAGCUGCUCGACACCCGCCUCUACACGUUACAGAAACAGGAGCCGGCGCGCGCCGUCCGCGCCAUCAGAGAGUGCUUCCGCACGCAGUGGCUGUCGGAAAAUGAACCUGCUUCCCAACGAGGCCGGCCUGCAACAACUGCUGGCCGGCUGUUGGCC